rnacentral:rRNA from 1 species
CCUACGGGAGGCAGCAGUAGGGAAUCUUCCACAAUGGGCGAAAGCCUGAUGGAGCAACGCCGCGUGAGUGAUGAAGGUUUUCGGAUCGUAAAACUCUGUUGUUAGGGAAGAACACCCGGGAGAGGAUCCCGGUUUGACGGUACCUAACGAGGAAGCCCCGGCUAACUACGUGCCAGCAGCCGCGGUAAU